rnacentral:rRNA from 1 species
AGUGAACGCUGGCGGUAGGCCUAACACAUGCAAGUCGAACGGCAGCACAGUAAGAGCUUGCUCUUACGGGUGGCGAGUGGCGGACGGGUGAGGAAUACAUCGGAAUCUACUUUUUCGUGGGGGAUAACGUAGGGAAACUUACGCUAAUACCGCAUACGACCUACGGGUGAAAGCAGUGGAUCUUCGGACCUUGCGCGACUGAAUUAGCCGAUGUCGGAUUAGCUAGGUGGCGGGGUAAAGGCCCACCAAGGCGACGAUCCGUAGCUGGUCUGAGAGGAUGAUCAGCCACACUGGAACUGAGACACGGUCCAGACUCCUACGGGAGGCAGCAGUGGGGAAUAUUGGACAAUGGGCGCAAGCCUGAUCCAGCCAUACCGCGUGGGUGAAGAAGGCCUUCGGGUUGUAAAGCCCUUUUGUUGGGAAAGAAAAGCAGCAGGUUAAUACCCCGCUGUUCUGACGGUACCCAAAGAAUAAGCACCGGCUAACUUCGUG